CGGGCAAACUCCCUGGGGGAAAAGCCAAGGGAUAAGGAAAAGCUGACCUCGUUUCAGAGCAAGAGGCAUAAAAUCUGAAGUACUGCAGGUGCUGCUCUUUUAGCCUGGGCCCCAGAAUAAACACCACUAGAAGAAACACCUAAUGGCCUCCUUGCAGACCAGCAGCGUGAUGCAAAGCUAACCCGGCGAACCUGCACAUGAAUGAGAUCCAGGACUCUGAGGCCCUAAGGAAUGGCAGUGAUGAGGUAGGAGUCUUGGUCCUGAAUGAUUUCAUGAAGCAAUCUCCUUUUAUGUCUCUCAUAAAUUGUAUUGGAGUGUGACAUGAGCAAAAACAUAAACUUUCAUUAAGUCACUCAGAUUUGAGGACUGUUUGUUUCAGCAGUUACCCUAUUUUGACUAAUACUGUCUUGAUUGUAUCUAUCCAAUAUUCUAGCCUGAUGAAACAAUCUUGGCUCUUGAUCUCUUAACUGUAUUGCCUAGCUGGAUAAGGGUUCAAUUACUGUUUUUAUUGUCCCUGUGGUCAAGUAGCCAUGCUCCCAUUUCUUCUCAGCUCAGCAACAAACCUGUAUGUGGUCUCCCUUCUUCUUGCUUGUUGGGUCUAGGGGGAGAUGGUUUUGGUCUUGAGGCCUUGUCUUUUAUGCUGUGGGAUCUUGGUGUGUGAGUCGUGCUCUACAGGGAGAAUACCUGUCACUGUUAAUGAUUUAUUUUGAACUAUCUACAACUAUAAAAUCAGUGGCUAGAUUAACUCAAGCUACAGUUAAGGAGAGCAGUAUGUAGACUAUAAGUGAUAAAUCUGAUUAAUGUACAGCGUUCUAUGCAUAAAACGAGUCUGGUAGAGUAAGACUACCUAUUCUUUCUUCUUUCUCAAUUAAUCUCUCUUUAUUUUCUCCCUGUACUCUUCUCUAGAUUUCUCAUUCUUUUUUUUUUCUUAUUUACUAAUGGGCGACCCCUCACAAAAUGAAUAAGCAUUUAGCUAGAAAUAAACCAAAUCUUUUUUUUCAGUUAUCACCAAAUAAUCCUAUAACGAAAGUACUAUUAUUCCACCAAUAUUACUAAUGAGAAAAAAUGAGGCUCAGAGAUGCAAAAUAAUUUACACAACUAAAAGCAGCAGAACUGCAGUUUAACCCAGUCAGUCUGAUUCUGCAAUUUAAACUGCAAUUUAACCCAGUCAGUCUGAUUCUAGAGCCUUGAGUCUCAACCACUUGUUUACGCCUUCAUCUAAU
rnacentral:lncRNA from 1 species